UACGUAGGGUGCAAGCGUUGUCCGGAAUUAUUGGGCGUAAAGAGCUCGUAGGCGGUUCGUCGCGUCGGCUGUGAAAACCUGAGGCUCAACCUCAGGCCUGCAGUCGAUACGGGCGGACUUGAGUACUGCAGGGGAGACUGGAAUUCCUGGUGUAGCGGUGGAAUGCGCAGAGUAUCAGGAGGAACACCGGUGGCGAAGGCGGGUCUCUGGGCAGUAACUGACGCUGGAGGAGCGAAAGCGUGGGGAGCGAACAGG
rnacentral:rRNA from 1 species